CAACCCUUAAGCCUAGCUUAGUGUUGGGAGUCUACGAGUGGGCCAGGCUACCCUGUAGCGUGGUUACCCUGUAGUUCCUGAAAAUCAACGGCGGAUUUACAGUAUCCUCUGAGCGUAGUAAUUUUUUAUCUCGCUUUUGUUAGGUGCUGUGACUUCGGCCGCUAAACCCCCAAUUUUUUGU
rnacentral:misc_RNA from 1 species